AUUGAACGCUGGCGGCAUGCCUAACACAUGCAAGUCGAACGCGAAAGAGGGGCAACUCUCGAGUAGAGUGGCGGACGGGUGAGUAAUACGUAGGAAUCUGCCCUAGAGUGGGGGAUAACCUGUCGAAAGACGGGCUAAUACCGCAUAUACUCUGAGGAGCAAAGGUGGCUAGCAAUAGCCUUCGCUUUAGGAUGAGCCUACGUCGGAUUAGCUAGUUGGUAGGGUAAUGGCCUACCAAGGCAACAAUCCGUAGCUGGUCUGAGAGGACGAUCAGCCACACUGGAACUGAGACACGGUCCAGACUCCUACGGGAGGCAGCAGUGGGGAAUAUUGGACAAUGGGGGAAACCCUGAUCCAGCAAUGCCGCGUGUGCGAUGAAGGCCUGCGGGUUGUAAAGCACUUUCGUUGGGGAAGAAAUGCUCAAAGAUAAUACAUUUGAGAGCUGACGUUACCCAAAGAAGAAGCACCGGCAAACUCUGUGCCAGCAGCCGCAGUAA
rnacentral:rRNA from 1 species